CCUACGGGUGGCUGCAGUGGGGAAUAUUGGACAAUGGGGGCAACCCUGAUCCAGCCAUGCCGCGUGAAUGAUGAAGGCCUUCGGGUUGUAAAGUUCUUUUGGUAGGGACGAUGAUGACGGUACCUACAGAAUAAGCUCCGGCUAACUUCGUGCCAGCAGCCGCGGUAAUACGAAGGGAGCUAGCGUUGUUCGGAAUUACUGGGCGUAAAGAGCGCGUAGGCGGUUUAACAAGUCAGGCGUGAAAGCCCUGGGCUCAACCCGGGAAUUGCGCUUGGGACUGUUUUUCUAAGAGUACGAGAGAGGUAAGUGGAAUUCCCAGUGUAGCAGUGAAAUGCGUAGAUAUUGGGAGGAACACCAGUGGCGAAGGCGGCUUACUGGCUCGUGACUGACGCUAAGGCGCGAAAGCGUGGGGAGCAAACAGGAUUAGAUACCCUUGUAGUC
rnacentral:rRNA from 1 species